CACAUUUCUCUCCCUCCUAAAGCUGUUUGCUGAAAGCAAGCCACUCUGUUCAGAUAGACAGUCCGUCCUAGGCUGACAGAGCGAGGUAGGUCACCUGUGAUCUUGUAGGAAUCCUGUCUUAUGACCGACCCACUCUAUCAUCUUGUACUCAGACCUUGGGUCUCUGUGGCAGAACCGCGAUACUGAAGUCUCCUAAGGUGCCCUGGGCUCCAUCCACUCUUCCAGUGAAUACGCACUAAUGCCUGCUAAGCGCCAAGCGAAUCAGCCCAUUGGGGUUGUGCGCUAAGACAGCUCUGCCUUGGGAAGCCAUGUGGUUUGACACUGCAGACUUUGGCUAGGUUUCCCAGCUUGCUAAGAUGUAUGGCCCUAGAACACUCGCUUUUAUGGCCGAUGUUCAGAUGGGUCCUGCCAACACUCACUGGCUCCUCUCUGUCCAUGAAACUCAGCAAAGGCAAGUUUGGGCCUGGCUCCAACCUCCAACAGUCUGCCGAUCUUCAAGCUGAGAUCGCCACGGGGUUGUAUUGUAGGAUCAUCCAGCAAACUCAGCAUGAAAAGAGCCAGUGUGAGAAGGACAAUAAGCAAACUGGAUUGUGCACAUUCAGAGUCCGUGUCAACAAGAGACCUCAGGGAACCCACGGACCUGUGAUUAAAUGUCAGUUUUUAAAGAAACAGAAGGGGAAGAAAAUUUCCCAGCAUGUAAUAGCUCUCCUUAGAAGGCCAAUAAAACUUCUUAAUAAAAAAAAAAAAGCCCAGGAGAUUAUUAUCCCGGGAUAAUAGGAGGAAAGGGGGUUUGUAAUCCAUCUGAACCCAUGAUUUUCAGACACAUUUUGGCUGAGGAAUCCUUUGUUUAAACCAUUACCGAGAUGUGUAAACAAGCAAAAACACCACCCGCUCUGACUGAAAGCAGGGCCAGGGUUGCCUCAUGAUCCCCUAAGUACAUCUAAGCCCUCAUUUUAACCCGCUAAGAACUCAAGGAGGAGUAAGGGAGAUGAUUCACUUAGCAAAGGGAUCGUGAAAGCAAACAUGAGUUCAAUCCUGGACUCCCAUGUAAAGUGUCAGAUAUAGUGACAGGCACUUGUCCUCUCAGUGCAAGCGAGGCAGGGCCAGGUUACUGGCCAGUCAGUCUAAUCAGCAAAAUCCAGGCUCCAGGGAGAGACCCUGUCACUUACGGUAGAGUUCUGCUCUACUUUCUUGGUCUUGCCUGCAUUUUCGUAUUUUCUAUAGAGGAUAGACCUUAGUCUUCUCCUAAGAAAAGUGGAUCCUUCAGAAAUCUUAGCAGGCAGAUAGGGGUCCAGGUAUUACCCAGUUAUCAUCCCCUUGGAUUAGUCCGUGGAGACUAUUCUUUAACAGUUAUUAGUGUAAAGCCAGAUGCUGCUCAUCCCAGCCACUCAGUUCCAGGGUUCAAACCAGAGCCUGGAGCUUAGCAGGCAAGUGCUCUACCAUGAGGCAUAGCUCUAGCGCAAUCCCUCAUGCCUGGGAGGCCAAGACAGGAGAAUGGUGAGGUUAAAGUCAGCCCAGGCAACAUGGAGAACACGGUUAAGACCUUGUCCCAAAGAAAAACGUUACUGAAGAAUAAUUUUAACAGAGUAUGAGGAAUGAUUCGUCAAGAUGUUAAACUUAAAAAAGAAGAAACGCAGUUGCCAAGACUGCGGACAGUUGUCACAAAAAUAUUUGUUUUUAAAAUGUGGCUGUCUUGGAAAUGUGUUGAUGGGUUUUCUUUUUUCUGCACAUUCCAGAUGUUACAAUAAAAUUAGAUUAUUUUGUAACUGGAAUAUGGGGCAGGCCAGAUGGCACAGCAAGUAAAGCAUUUACCACCUAA